ACUGAUCCGAUCGAGUGGCGGACGGGUGAGUAACGCGUGAGGAACCUGUCUCAUACAGGGGGAUAACAGUUGGAAACAACUGCUAAUACCGCAUAAGACCACAGCAGCGCAUGAUGCAGAGGUCAAAGGAGGAAUCCGGUAUGAGGUGGACUCGCGUCCGAUUAGAUAGUUGGUGAGGUAACGGCCCACCAAGUCAACGAUCGGUAGCCGACCUGAGAGGGUGAUCGGCCACAUUGGAACUGAGAUACGGUCCAGACUCC
rnacentral:rRNA from 1 species